AAUGUUUGUUGUUUAACUUGUAAUAAGCAACGCCCACAUUGUUAAACCACACCCAGCUUCAAGAUAUGGCCUCAGGAAAGGCCCUUCAUUAUACCCACCAAAUUUCAUAGAAAUUGGGAAAACCGUUUAAGAGAUAUACAUUUUCCAUAUUUGCAGCGCCCCCUAGAGGCCAACAUUCACCAAAUUUGGCUCAUACCGUCAGAG